UACGUAGGGGGCAAGCGUUGUCCGGAAUCAUUGGGCGUAAAGAGCGCGUAGGCGGCCCAGUAAGUCCGCUCUGAAAGUCAGGGGCUCAACCCCUGAAUGCGGGUGGAUACUGCUGGGCUAGAGUCCGGAAGAGGCGAGUGGAAUUCCUGGUGUAGCGGUGAAAUGCGCAGAUAUCAGGAGGAACACCAAUAGCGAAGGCAGCUCGCUGGGACGUUACUGACGCUGAGGCGCGAAAGCGUGGGGAGCAAACAGG
rnacentral:rRNA from 1 species